AUGAGCUCCAGUGCCACAGGAAGGGAAGCUGCUGGGGUACACGGCUGGGGAGGAGGUGGAGUGGGAUCACUCCUUUUGGCAGCAAGUAAUUAUUGGAUCAGCACCUGUGAGAGCAUUCCCAGAGCCUGCCUGACUUCAGUUUUCAUUUGUUAGGAAGCAUCAAUUCCCAUUCAUCAAGAAGGCAGCACCUGAGACACUUUGUAUCACCUAAGUACAAAUUAACACAACCAGCAUAUCUCACUGCAUUUCCAGCUUCCAGUUACAGUAGUAAGGUAAGCAAUUAGCAUACGGAAUGAGUAUCAAAUACUUAUGUGUACCAAAGGCAAGUUAGUCACAAAAAUCUCUACAAAUACCUUACAGACAAAACUAGCAGCAAACACUGCUAUCUUUACAAAAGAUUCGUUCAUGAGCACAACUGAUUGGGCAGCUAUCUGGAAAACAAGCCGAUAGCUACGUUACAAAAAUAGCCAAACAAAUAUUUGAUCAUAGUAACUGCAUGAACAAGUGUUAGAGAGAGAGAAGUAAGCAUGAUUCAGUUAGCACAAACUCCACUUAUACAAGAGUGCCUCCAAGCCACAGAACACGUAGCUUCAGUUUUACACUAAUAAUAAAUACUUCAGUCCAAUACA
rnacentral:lncRNA from 1 species